CAGGUUCUCCCAGCAUCCCUCAGUCCCUACCUGUGACAGGGUAUGGAGAGAUGGCUCAGCGGUUAAGAGCACUGUCUGCUCUUUCAAAGGUCCUGAGUUCAAAUCCCAGCAAUCACAUGGUGGCUCACAACCAUCUGUAAUGAGAUCUGAUGCCCUCCUUCUGGGGUGUCUGAAGACAGUUACAGUGUACUUACAUAUAAUAAAUAAAUA
rnacentral:lncRNA from 1 species